rnacentral:pre_miRNA from 1 species
UGUGUACUCCCUCCGUUCCAAAAUACUUGACUUGCAUUUGUCCAAAAAUGGAUGUACCUAUAUACUAAAACAUGUCUAGAUACAUAUAUAUUUUGACAAAUAGAAGGCAUGUAUUGUGCAACAGAGGGAGUAGAAU